GUAUUGAUUGCGUGUGACCGCAAAAAUAACAUUCUACACUGUAUCAAGUUUUAUGUGAAAACGCAAGCCCUCCUGCAAAGGGGGGCCCACGCGGUGAUGCACAAAAGGGGUGAGAUGGAUUGUGUGAGAGUGCUCGGGCGUGCACAACCUUUAAAAGGUCAGCGACAGCCCUUGCACCUCGGUUAUACAAUAAUGAUCCUUCCGCAGGUUCACCUACGGAAA
rnacentral:misc_RNA from 1 species